rnacentral:lncRNA from 1 species
UGGAGAACAACAACGACACUAGUUCAUAAACUCUCUCUUAUACUUAAAGCUUUUUUGCUCUUUUUUGUUACUUGCUACAUCCACUGAAACUGCCAGCUGUAAGCCAAGGCUAGUUAUUGCACUACACUGCUCUAUACUUUGUGUCUGCUCUCCUUAACUGGUAUGUCCUUAUUUAAGUACAAGUUGAAAACUCUAUGUGUUCUCUUACUACAUUAGUUUACUGAUUUCCAGUCUAAGUCAUGUUUAUCACUUGGCUUUUUGAUACAUAACUAGC